rnacentral:rRNA from 1 species
UUCCGUAGGUGAACCUGCGGAAGGAUCAUUAACACUAAUCCAAUUCAACUCAACAAAGCCUUUAGUUGUAGCGUGGUAACAUGCUACAGCAACAUACAAAACUAAUAAGUCAAAGGAACUUAACAAAGCAACUAAAACAAAAACCAAAUUCUCAACGGUGGAUGUCUUGGUUCCCACAACGAUGAAGAACGCAGCGAAGUGCGAUAAGCAGUGCGAAUUGCAGAACCGUGAGUCAUCAGAUUUUUGAACGCAACUGGCGCCGUGCGGGGUCACCCGCCGGCACGCCUGGUCCAGUGUCUUGUUUUCUCAUCACCAAAAUCAUAAUGCGAGAGAUACCCUUCUCUCGUCAAGCACGAAAGCACUCUGCGCUCUGCGAGCGGCCUUCGGGUCGCACUCAAUGCAGCAGUCACAUUUUUACAAGUGUGAACUCAUUGAGAGUGGACGCAGCGAAGAGUAAUCUUCAAGUGUUUAGUCACACCAACUUUGGUACGGUAUCUGGGCUCAGGUGGGACCACCCGCUGAAAUUAAGCAUAUCA